rnacentral:lncRNA from 1 species
UUUUCUCUCCCAGGGUCAAGUCCAGCCCACCGUUUAGCAGCCGGCUGGAACUUGUGUCGACUAUGUUUUCUGGUCUCUCACGUUUCUCGUGUUUUGGUCAAUGCAAUCAAAUGUCUAUAGAAGCUGUAGAGAAAAAUAUAUUUUGAUUGAGGGAGUAUAUGCUACUGAUCCCUCGUUCUCCCUUUAAUCCCUUUUUUAUUUUAAAGCCCAAGUCAACUACGUUGUGGUAUUUGUUUUACUUUAUAACCUUCCACAGAUAGCUGCUUAUUUUUUUAAUUGAAUCAACAUGAGACUAAUGCCUAAAGAAGGAAACAUCGUAGGCUACAACAAUAGCUGCCAACCGCAAGAGUAAAUGCAUUGAGAAGUAUACCUAAUUCAUCAAGUCUACCAUGACAUCACUCUCUCACCAUAUACAACA